rnacentral:rRNA from 1 species
GUGUAAGUAUAAAUAAUUUUACUUUGAAACUGCGAAUGGCUCAUUAUAUCANUUAUAGUUUAUUAGAAAUACUUUACUACUUGGAUAACCGUAGUAAUUCUAGGGCUAAUACAUGACUAAAUCCUCAACUUCGGAAGAGGUGUGUUUAUUAGUAUGAAAACCAUAUAUCUUCGGAUAUAAUAGUGAGUAAUAAUAACCUUUCNUAUCGUAUGUCGUAAGAUAACGAUAGUUCUUUCAAGUUUCUGCCCUAUCAGCUUUCGAUGGUAGUAUAUGGGACUACCAUGGCAGUAACGGGUAACGAAGAAUUUGGGUUCGAUUUCGGAGAGGGAGCCUGAGAGAUGGCUACCACAUCCAAGGAAGGCAGCAGGCGCGUAAAUUACCCAAUCCUGACAUAGGGAGGUAGUGACAAUAAAUCACAAUGCGGAACUNUUUAUUUU